GUUUCUUCAGCGUGCUCAGUCGGCCCAGGCCCUCCGCCACAGCCCGUAGUCGGUUGUGGCUGAGGUCCAACUCCACCAGCUGCCUCAACUCGAAUACGGCGCACGGCACGGUGGAGAAGUGAUUCCUGCGCAGCACUAGCACACGCAGGUUGUUGAGACUGGAUGCCAGGCCUUCGGGUAGCUCUUGCAGGAGGUUGUUGCCCAGGUUCAGGGCCUCCACGUGGGACAGGUCCGCAUCUUUGGGAUAGGGGGGCAGCUGGCGCAGGUCGCUGCGCAGCUUCCUGGAGCGGAGGGCGGCGUCCCGCCACAGCUGGGCCGCCUUAACAUUGUUCUCCAGGGGGGGCGGCCCGUCUCCUCGCCUUUGCUCACCCUCCCCCUCCGCCCAGUCCUUGUUUUUUUCAUUCAGAGUCCUCAUGGGUUG